AGGUUUCUCCAGAACAACACUGACAGGUCGCCCGUGUCUAAACAGAUGCUCCUUUGAGGGAGACGAGAGGCGGUGGCUGUCAAUGCAAUCAUUUACACAGACCGCUGCCGAACAAAUACAGGUUGACUCAAACAACUGAGAAAAAAGAUAAGUCAACGGUGUGGAAUUAAGACUGAUUUUUUAGUAUUGUAGCUGGUUUUUGUUUUUUACAGUAGAACUGUCCUAUAAGUAGGCUUAUUAUGUGAAGUGAUGGUAACGACCUGGACUGAUUGCGGAGCUGAGAAGACUUCUGAUUCAGGUGAGAAAGAAAAACAGGAAAACGAGGAUGAGCCAGCAUGGAGAGUGAUGCAUGAGAUAUGUGACACACCACCCGCAGCUUUCAGAGAGCAUUCUUGGUUGCAUGUGUGUCUGUAUGUUUGUGCAUCUAAGCGUAUAUGAACGUGUGUGUGUGUGUGUCCUCUUGUGAGCAUGGGAGCAUCGAAGAGAGACCCAACAAGUGAGGAAGAGCACAGAGGAGAGACAGAGGACUGUGUGCGUUGGCUGUUGU
ensembl:lncRNA